rnacentral:antisense_RNA from 1 species
GACGCGGACACACAAGGCUCCGUUCCACGGGGCACGCCAGCGGUAGAGACUGGGUUUCACCAUGUUAGCCUGGCUGGUCUCAAACUCCUGAGCUCAGGCAAUCCGCCGGCCUCGGCCUCCCAAAGUGCUGGGAUUACGGGCGUGAGCCACUGCGCCCGGUUCAAGCGAUUCUCCUGCCUCAGCCCCCUGAGUAGCUGGGAUUACAGGCGCGCGCCACCACUCCCAGAUCUUCGCUACAGGUCAGCUCCAAGGAGGAGCUCUCAAAACCUAGCUCUCAAAACCUAGCUCUUUUCCUUCAGAGCACUGGCCUCCAAUU